GCAGUCGUGGCCGAGUGGUUAAGGUGAUGGACUAGAAAUCCAUUGGGGUCUCCCCGCACAGGUUGGAAUCCUGUCGACUGCU
rnacentral:tRNA from 2 species